CCUACGGGAGGCAGCAGUGGGGAAUAUUGCGCAAUGGGGGCAACCCUGACGCAGCAACGCCGCGUGCUUGAAGAAGGCCUUCGGGUUGUAAAGAUCUUUAAUCGGGGACGAAUUUUGACGGUACCCGAAGAAUAAGCUCCGGCUAACGACGUGCCAGCAGCCGCGGUAAUACGUAGGGAGCAAGCGUUAUCCGGAUUUACUGGGUGUAAAGGGCGUGUAGGGGGGCAUGCAAGCCAGAAGUGAAAUCUGGGGGCUUAACCCCCAAACUGCUUUUGGAACUGCGUGUCUUGAGUGAUGGAGAGGCAGGCGGAAUGCACAGUGUAGCGGUGAAAUGCGUAGAGAUUAGGAGGAACACCGGUGGCGAAGGCGGCUUACUGGACCGUAACUGACGUUGAGGCUCGAAAGCGUGGGGAGCAAACAGGAUUAGAUACCCCAGUAGUC
rnacentral:rRNA from 1 species